UCCCUGAUGGCUCAGAUGGUAGAGAAUCUGCCUACAAUGCAGGAGACCCAGGUUUGAUCUCUGGGUCAGGAAG
rnacentral:tRNA from 1 species